UACAGAGGGGCAAGCGUUAUUCGGAAUUAUUGGGCGUAAAGGGCGCGUAGGCGGCUUGGCAAGUGGAUGGUGAAAUCCCUCGGCUUAACCGAGGAACUGCCAUCCAGACUGCUUUGCUUGAGGCCGGGAGAGGUGAGUGGAAUUCCCAGUGGUAGCGGUGAAAAUGCGUAGAUAUUGGGAGGAACACCAGUGGCGAAGGCGGACUCACUGGACUGGUAUUGACGCUGAGGUGCGAAAGCGUGGGAGCAACAGGGA
rnacentral:rRNA from 1 species